rnacentral:sRNA from 1 species
UGUCAUAUUUGACUACAAACCGUAAACCAAGCUUCUUCUUACUUCUCAAAGCUUUGAUGGUGUAGCCGAAGUCCUUAUGAUAUUUGAUUUUGGAUCU